CCAUGCUAAUUAUGGCAGUGAGGAAAUUAAGGAAAAGCAGAGGUCCCAUUGGAAAUACAGCCAACUACAUACUGAGGCAUCUGGGUUCUCAUCCUGAUAAAGCUGACAACUAACUUGAGAAAGUCAUUUAAAUUCUCUAGUCUUUAAUUCCUCAGCCAUAAAGAUGGUCCUAUUCCAUCUCUGUGGCUUUGAUAUAAUAAGAUUUAACCUCUAUGAAUUUCUAAUAUGAAUUCUAGAAGUUUGAAAAUUGGAAGAGCCUUUGAAAUUGUUCAGUCUUUCUUUACACAUACCUUAAAAACUUAAUAAAAAUAAAAAUUAUAUGUCUAGCUUUAGCAAAAAUUGAUGUGGAAAAUCCAAACUUUU
rnacentral:lncRNA from 1 species